rnacentral:rRNA from 1 species
UAAGGUAGCAUAAUCAAUAGUUUUUUAAUUGAAAGCUGGAAUGAAGGGUUGGAUAAAAAAAUAACUGUUUCUAUUUAAUUUAAUUAGAAUUUUAUAUUUAAGUUAAAAAGCUUAAAUUUUGUUAAAAGACGAGAAGACCCUAUAGAGUUUAAUAAAUAAUUAUAUUAUUAUAUUUAGAAUUAAUUUUAUUAGUUAUAUUAUUUAUUUAAUUGGGGUGAUUAAAAAAUUUAAAUAACUUUUUUUAUAUUAUAACAUUUAUAGAUGAAUAUUUGAUCCAUGGUUAAUGAUUAAAAGAUAAAAUUACCUUAGGGAUAACAGCGUUAUUUUUUUUUAGAGUUCAAAUCGAAAGAAAAGAUUGCGACCUCGAUGUUGGGUUAAAAUAAAUUUUUGGUGUAGAAGCUAAAAUAUUAGGUCUGUUCGACCUUUAAAAUUUUACAUGAUC